GAUGAACGCUGGCGGCGUGCCUAAUACAUGCAAGUCGAGCGAACAGACGAGGAGCUUGCUCCUCUGACGUUAGCGGCGGACGGGUGAGUAACACGUGGAUAACCUACCUAUAAGACUGGGAUAACUUCGGGAAACCGGAGCUAAUACCGGAUAAUAUAUUGAACCGCAUGGUUCAAUAGUGAAAGACGGUUUUGCUGUCACUUAUAGAUGGAUCCGCGCCGCAUUAGCUAGUUGGUAAGGUAACGGCUUACCAAGGCGACGAUGCGUAGCCGACCUGAGAGGGAGAUCGGGCACACUGGCAGUGAGACACGGUCCAGACUCCUACGGGGGGCAGCAGUAGGGAAUCUUCCGCAAUGGGCGAAAGCCUGACGGAGCAACGCCGCGUGAGUGAUGAAGGUCUUCGGAUCGUAAAACUCUGUUAUUAGGGAAGAACAAAUGUGUAAGUACCUAUGCACGUCUUGACGGUACCUAAUCAGAAAGCCACGGCUAACUACGUG
rnacentral:rRNA from 1 species